GGAGAGGUCGCAUAGUGGUCCAUUGCACAGGUUUGCUAAACCUGCGAGCUUGUUUUUAGCUCACGCGGGUUCGAAUCCCGCCCUCUCCGCCA
rnacentral:tRNA from 1 species